rnacentral:rRNA from 1 species
UACGAAGGGUGCAAGCGUUACUCGGAAUUACUGGGCGUAAAGCGCACGUAGGCGGAUAUUUAAGUCAGGGGUGAAAUCCCAGAGCUCAACUCUGGAACUGCCUUUGAUACUGGGUAUCUCGAGUAUGGAAGAGGUGAGUGGAAUUCCGAGUGUAGAGGUGAAAUUCGUAGAUAUUCGGAAGAACACCAGUGGCGAAGGCGACUCACUGGACAUGUAUUGACGCUGAGGUGCGAAAGCGUGGGGAGCAAACAGG